GGGGCUGAACGGAAUUGACGGGAAGUUGAUUGAAAAUGUAAGCAUGUCGGGCGAUCAAGAUUUGUCCCGUAAAAACACAUCUUGAAACAAUAAUUGGCGAAACAAACUACGCUCUUGCUGCCUAAUCGAAUAAAGUAGAUGACGCUUAGUUCCGAAUAAGAUUCGGAAGCAAGACAUUCCGCAAAAGACCCGCCUUUAGUCGUUUGAGUUCGGAGUGCUGUAAGUAAAGGAUAGAGUUUCUAAAGCUUGUAUUGAAACUUGAAAUUUUUUAAGCUAAGGCAGUAAUUGGGUGUUUGUUCUCUGUUGCUGUUCGAAAAUUAAAAACAAACUACACAUGUAGAAAGCAUUUGCAAUGCUUGUUCGGACCAGGGUUCAAAUCCCUGCAGCUCCACAA
rnacentral:tmRNA from 1 species